GUGAACGCUGGCGGUAGGCCUAACACAUGCAAGUCGAACGGCAGCACAGUAAGAGCUUGCUCUUACGGGUGGCGAGUGGCGGACGGGUGAGGAAUACAUCGGAAUCUACUUUUUCGUGGGGGAUAACGUAGGGAAACUUACGCUAAUACCGCAUACGACCUACGGGUGAAAGCAGGGGAUCUUCGGACCUUGCGCGAUUGAAUGAGCCGAUGUCGGAUUAGCUAGCUGGCGUGGUAAAGGCCCACCAAGGCGACGAUCCGUAGCUGGUCUGAGAGGAUGAUCAGCCACACUGGAACUGAGACACGGUCCAGACUCCUACGGGAGGCAGCAGUGGGGAAUAUUGGACAAUGGGCGCAAGCCUGAUCCAGCCAUACCGCGUGGGUGAAGAAGGCCUUCGGGUUGUAAAGCCCUUUUGUUGGGAAAGAAAAGCAGCAGGUUAAUACCCCGCUGUUCUGACGGUACCCAAAGAAUAAGCACCGGCUAACUUCGUG
rnacentral:rRNA from 1 species